rnacentral:lncRNA from 1 species
UGUCCAGCUCCUUUCCCUUUUUUGUUAACAGGGUCUCUGCCUGGGUUCGAAAGUAAGGUGACAGAACCCGAAAUCUGUUAUUAAGGUCUUUGCAGAAGCAGGUAAGCUUGAUCUUCGGAGCUAGCCGCGGAUGUAGUUUUCCAUCACCCAUCACCAUGUUGAUAGCAGCGACCAGAUCUUCCUUCGAGUCCAGCUUUCCAACGAAUUCCGUCCAGAGCUUAUGCUCGUACUUCUCUUCAAUAUGUUUCAGCCACUUCUGCCUGUCGCCACCACAUUCUCCGUAGAAGCGUAACAAGCGCGGUAUUCCCCCCGUCAGAUUAUCCAGAUCCAGCAGCGCAGAAGCUGGUAGAUUUGCCUGCGCAAUCCAUGUAUUCAGCUCCUCUUCCGUGUAGGGACCGUCAAACUCUUCAGUUAGCUCAUGGUCUUCAGCCUCAUAUUGCCCGGGGCUGUCUAUGGACAAGACUGUGAUGCGAACACUGACUCCAGAGGCACGAACCAGGUGAGCUUUCAGGCGAUGAAGCAGCCGUGGCUCCACCUUAUCAUUCUUCUUUGGAUCAAGCUCUUCCCAGUCAUCGAUGAUGAAAAGCAAACCUGUCCUGCCCUCGCACCACGCCACCAGGUCUUCUACACUGAGCAAAUUCUGCAACUCCUCCCACACGGUCUUGCACUGGCCAAAUGCAAGCAGCAAGGCCUCGAGCAGAACCUUGUCCGGCUCUGAGAUGUAACGGGUUGCCGAGAUAUACACCACCUUUUUGCCGUUGGCGAGGAGGAAGCCGGCUUCGGUGCUCAUGACAGUACUCUUGCCACUGCCUUUACCCCCAAUGACCUGCAAUCGAUUUGCAUUGUGGAGCUUCAAAAUGCUAGAAUGGAGCUUCUCAGCGCCAGCACGACCAAUGUAGUUGUACUUGUCGUCCAUGUUUUCAGGGGGAUUAAGAGUUGGUCGAAGCAGCCCCGAGUAAACAGCUCCUCCAUCCCACAGGAAUGAGCAAUCCUUGCCAGCGUACAAUUCCUGCAGCUCCUUGUAUCGCUGUUCAAUCAUCACGGCCUUGUCCUCCCGCUUUCUUUUCAUCCUUCCUGUCGAGAAGCGGGUCACUGGCACACGAGAGGAAAGAAAGACGGAACGUACCAGCAGGUGCGAAGGCCAGUAGCAAAGCAUUGACUUGCUGAGGGCGAGUUGGGAGUGCCGAUACGAGACACUCACGGAGUCGCCCGACACGCUGAGCUCGGCGAUAAGCGUUGGCAUCCACGAACCCGUCCGCGGAAAGAUUUUGGAAGUCGUCCGCUGUGAACAGCUCGAAAUCGACGCCACUCACCAGUGAGCGCACCACCUCCGCCGCCAUAAGCAACCAAUCCUUAGGGUUUAGCACAAGAAUAUCCAGGUAUAUCCUUGGUGUCUGCCACUUUUAGACUUUAGAGUAUGACGUUGUGUCUUUGCGGUGAAGAAGCGAAACUGUUCCAUCCGGACAGAGUAAUCCACGUCGAAGACCACUCCGGGGCCGAAAGUGGGGACAUUGAAUUGAUAGACCUCCUUUUGGCUCAGCUCCGACUCCUGGGCCUUGUAGAAAUGGGAAGAAACCUCGGGACCGAUCAAGAAUGUGAUCAUGCGCGUGACAAUCUUGACGGUGAAGACGCUGCUCAGGCGCCGCCCAGGCGCUGGUACUCCUGCCGCAGCAUCACAAUCGGCCCCUUCCCACUAGCAGCAGCAGCGCGGCCGCCACCAUGGCCUUCAGAUCUUGCCUUAAAUCCGAGAUGAGAACGUUAACUCCCGACCGUCCAAUUGUCAGUGACGCCAGCCGUUGGAUUGCUGCCCGAAUAAGCUGGCCAGCUGGACAUAAGCCGACGAAGAAGAUGCUCCAGCCGCCGCGAGAGGUGCCGUGCGCCGUGGAUUCCACAAGAUCCCAGCAAUGCCCCCCCAACUGGAAUGCUUUCGAUCAACUCUCUGGCCUCCUGCACUCCUCCCGAUCGCCCUAGAACAUCCAGCAUACUCACGAAGAGCUCCGGGCUCGCGGUGAUGCCAUAGUCGCGAUCGAUCGAUGCGAAGCAGUUGCGCGCCUGAUCGAUCAUCCCUGCGUGGCUGCACGCCAGGAAAUUGAUGCCCAGGGCGACGAGAUCGGGCUGGAAUCCCUCUUGCCCCAUUCUCUGGAACAAGUUCACGGCUUCUCCAUGCUGACCACCAGCGGCAAGAGCAGCCAUCAUGGCCGUCCACGUGUACGUGUUCCAGUUUUCCCGGGCUGCGAUCGUGCAGACGCUCCAGGCGUCGGCCACGUGUCCACAUCUGCCGUACAGUGUGAUGAGCGCCGUGGCCAGUUUGUGGACCGCCACGGAAAUGGCCACUGCGUGCUCGUGAAUGGUACGGCCUUCGUCCAGGGCUGAGCACAGGCGUCGAGAGCUAUGAGAAGAGAGAUGGAAUUGGGCGAGAUACCCUCCAAAUCCAUUUGCUUGAAAAGAUCAAGGGCUCUUCUUUCUUUGCGAUUGCUCAAAAACGCUGCCAUCGGCGCGUUCCAAGACACCACAUUGUCGAUGCCGUGGUCGUGGUCGCCAUCAAAGAACAAGAGCUCUGCAGUUUCUAGGCUGCCACAUUCGCCACAUUUGGCAAUCAGCGCGUUCCGUAGCUUGAAUCCCUUCUUCUGGAGGCCUUGGUUAUCAUCCAGUGCAGUGUGGAGGAGACGAUCGAAGCUAGAGCAAGCUUCUGUAACGUUGAUCAGCGUGAUCUCGUCCGGUGGAAUUCCUGCGAGAUCCAUGCUAGCAAACAGCCUCACCGCAUCGGAUUUGAGCUGUGAUUGGCGGCUAAACGCCGAGAUGAUGGCCCAAUUGUGGCAAUCCCUGUAGCGCAGCAGCGAUCAAAAAUCCUCCUCGCCUCGGACAAGCACCCACAUUUGCUGGACAUGGCGAUGAGCGCAUUGUCAAUGUGGCCGUCUCUUCGAUUGAUGGUGGCGUUGUCAAUCAGCCUGUGAAUCGCUUGCCCUUUCGCUAAAUCCCCUUCAUCUCCACAAGCGCCAAGAACACUCACGAACGCGAUCCCAUCAGCCUUGAUUCCUUCCAAGCACGCUAUUGCAAAAACCAGCAAUGCCUCCCUUGGCGGCCGUGGGCUGUGAUCAUGCCCGUCCACGUCACGAGCCCUCGAGAAACGGACGGCAUCGACUCGAACACAUCCCUGGCGUUUCCCACGCAAACUUGGUGAUGGCCCUUGAAAGAUUCGCAACCAGAUUCUUUGACGAACCUAUACAUCAAACCUGCCAGCUUGCCACACAGCGCGCAUAUCCACGUCACCUGCCCGCGAGCAUGAUGUUCCACGAGAAGGAAUUCCUCUCGUGGAUAGCCUCAAACGCUGCAUGGGCGUCCUCCACGCAUCCGCACUCCCCAUACAUUUGGACAAGAAGAUUCUCUAGAUACCUGUCGCCGCCAUAGCCAGAGGUGUGGAGCUGGGCGUGGAUCUCCCUGCCACGUUCGAUCUCCCGCCGCCGCCCACAUCCCCGCAGCUCGCUCGCAAACUGGACUGCCGCCAGUUCUAUUACAGGAAGCUUGAUGCUGAGCCACAGCUAAUUAGAAUGUGUAGAUUUGAACUUUCCAGAUUUCAUAAUUCCAAAUGGAACUGCAAUGGAAUUGCCAAUUGAUGUGCGUACGGAUCAGGUGGUGCGGGAGGCUCUUGCACGGAUCUUAUCGUCGAAAACCACGGCAAUAUUCAACGCACUGGUGACUAUGUACAGCAAGUGUGGCGACCUCGUACGGGCACCAUGGUAGAAGCGUAUGCUCAGUUUGGGCAUAUGCCCAGCACUUUGGAAGCUCUUGAGGGAAACUGGAGCUUCUCCGACCACUGUGACUUUCACAAGUUCUCUAGUGGGUUAUAGCUCGAGAGGAUUCUUUGAAGGAUCAAGGGAAUUGCUCUCUUACGUGGUCCACCUUAAAUGUUUUAUGAUUAACUCUAAAUUAGGAACGUUAGAUUUUAAUUAGUAGAUGUUGUUAACAGAUAUAUUAAUGACUAUAAUUUUAUAAUUAGCCAGUGACUGAACGGCUAUAAUUUAUAAGUAUAUAACUUACAUUUGGGUUUAUGUUUUUCCUCUUUGUGUUUUAUGUUUGUGCUCUUUAUAUUUUCUUUCUUAUCUUAUUCAUUUUCUUUAGUAUUAUGGUUAGAUUGGAAUAUAUAAAUCAUAUUUAAGACAGUAUUAUUUCCUUUUCCUAAUCUUAUUGAGAGAACGAAUAAUAAAGUAAAUUCUUUUACUUUUUGUAUUAUGAUUUGUCUUCUUCUAGAAGAGAGAGAAUGUGAAAAAUGUCAUUGACCAAUGAGAUAUCAAUCUGAUAAUAAAAGCUGUAAAGAGGGUUUGAAGUGGAAUUGUAAAAAUUGCAAUACCACAAGAUUUUUUAAAACUAAUAUUUUUUUUGUAAAUAAUAAUGUCACAUUUGCUCAAAUGUUUAAAUUGAUGUAUUUUUAGUGCAUUAAAAUGCCAUAAGGUAAAACUUAUAUUGAGUGUAAUAUUAAAAAACAGCACAUGAGAACUUUUGUCGUGAUAAUUUUGAGGUAAUUUAAGUAUAACUUUGAUAUAAUUGAUUAAAAUGGUGGAAGUUAACUUCCUCAGAAUUUUUAUUAUGAUAAGAAAGAAGUUUAAAAUAUCCCUUGAGGGAUAAAUUGCUUAUGUCAUGAUAUAGUGAGUCAUUGUUAAAUAAUAAAAUACUCAUUUCUAAUAAGUUUAAACUAAAAUAUAUCAACAUAUAAAACAUUGAAAAAAUAUUUUUUAGUAAGGCCAAAGGGACUAAAUCCGUAAAUAAUGAUGGAUAGAAUUUAAAAUUUAAGUUUAAGAAAAGUUAAAGACAAAAGAAACCUUAAUUAUCUAAAGUGGAUAAAGCUAAAACAAUGCUGGCAUUGCUAAAUAAUGGGGAGUGCCCAUAAGUAAUAAUGUUAAUCCCAAUAUGUGUGAUUAUAAGUUAAAAAUAUUUACUAAGGCACAAUUAAGUGAAAAGCUUACCUCCUAGCAUGAAGGAUAAUAAGUAAAAUGAAUGUAUGAGGCCACAAGUUAAGAGUGAGAAACCAAGAAUGAACUUGAGGGUUUAUUAAUUAUAACUAUGGUGCUAUGAAGAGUUUAAAACAUGGAGGCUUUAAUAUUAAAUUGGGUGAUGGAUAUAAACCUUAUGAAAGCUCAUAAAACUGAAAGUCUCCAUACAAAGCUAGAUAGUAGCCAAAAAGUUUAUGAAACUAAAGGCAUUAAUAAACUGAAGGCUAGAGUCUUUUCAAUGUUCUAAAAGAGUAAAUUAAUAUUUAAGAAGUUAAGUAUAAAUGGUUCAUAACAUAUGCAAAAUCAGGAUAGUGCAAUAAAAGUAUGGUUUUAAAACUUGCCAGAAGGUGAUACUAUUAACGUUGGGGAAGUAAUUCCCGCAUGUUUGAAAGGAUGAUUUUGAAUGGAAGUUGGUAUCAUUUAGAUAAACUAAAUAUCAUGUUUAAUUGUAUACUAAUUUCUUAAUAUCAUCAAAUGGAAUUUUAUCCAAUAUGAAUAAAUGGAAUAUAGUCCAAUCUAUAUACCUAGAAGUGUCAUUAGAUAAAAGCCACUUCAAAUAUCAAAUGUGGUGAUUUGCCAUUUAUUUUACCUUCAAGUUAGGUCUCCUCUUACCUGUAUCUAUUUCAAAGUUCGUGUGUGACCACAUACCAUGGGACCUGUAUGAUAUGGAGCCAGUUUUGUCCACAGUGCCACCUGGCACAAAUAAGAUUGUGUUUGACUUGCAUGAUGUUAAAUUAGGCUUCAAAAGACAGUUGAGAUUGCAUGUGUCAACAUUUGCAUUUAAGCCAGCUACAUCUGAGAGGAUUGUCAAGACGAACAAGGCACUCUCCCUCUAUUGUUGUUACAAUCAGCCUUGCAAAACCAUCCUCUAGACCAUCAUUGUAAGAGGGCACAAAUCAUCAAGUCAAAACUGACUUAACCGAAUUAAGUAAGAAACAGUUUAACCACUUGAUCAUCCUAAGCUGGAUGCCACCUGCACCUGUACUCACAAGCACACGCUUCUCCCUCAAAGUGAAGCUUGCAGUUGGCACAGUUCUCACAGGUUCUAUUCUUUCCCCAACAGAACCUAGUAGCCUGCUUCUUUGACGGGAUCUUUGGCUCUGUGAGCUUAAUCUGGUCGAACCAUUUCAGCGAUUCGUCUAUAUCGCUUAGACUUUUGAAGCCUGCCACGUCACCUGCAAGCCUUCCAGCUUCACUGUAUCAGGCAUGGCAUAGUAGUACAAGGACUCGACCGUGGCAGCUCCCAGUCCUUUUUUCCAUUCCGGAAGGACCUCAUCCUUCCACACUGUAUGAGACCUUUUCUUCUCCUUUGCCUUCCACUGAGCAACUGUAAUCUGAAGAGCUACCAAUGCUUGAGGACCCAUCAAGACACCCCCCCCCCCCCCCCCGCAAGUCCUGGAACCCUACAUUGCGAAGAGCAGCUACUUCGUGCCCAUGGGCAUACGUCCUGUACCUCUUGAACGAAUAAGCGUCAUCAAACAGCCUCCCCUGUAUCCGAAUGACGCUGAUCACUAGGCCUUCAAUGUGCCAGCUGAUGCGAGAGGGGUUCCUUUCUGCAAGCUCACUUUUACAGUCCACUUCUACUGCUUCUGUCCACAACUGUAUGUCUGAAAGCAGCAGCUUCUUGUCCAGCUCCUUUCCCUUUCCUGUUAACAGGGUCUCUGCCUGGGUUCGAAAGUAAGGUGACAGAAGCCGAAAUCUGCCAUUAAGGUCUUUGCAGAAGCAGGUAAGCUUGAUCUUCGGAGCUAGCCGCGGAGGUAGUUUUCCAUCACCCACCACCAUGUUGAUAGCAGCGACCAGAUCUUCCUUCGAGUCCAACUUUCCAACGAAUUCCGUCCAGAGCUUAUCCUCGUACUUGG